GGAUGCGAUCAUACCAGCACUAAAGCACCGGAUCCCAUCAGAACUCCGAAGUUAAGCGUGCUUGGGUGAGAGUAGUACUAGGAUGGGUGACCUCCUGGGAAGUCCUCUUGUCUCAUUCC
rnacentral:rRNA from 1 species